AUGCACAGACCCAGAAGACCCCUCCAUCCUGCAGUUCCUGCCAUGAGCCUGGGGCUCCUGUGCUGUGCGGCCUUUUCUCUCCUGUGGGCAGGUCCAGUGAAUGCUGGUGUCACUCAGACCCCAAAAUUCCACGUCCUGAAGACAGGACAGAGCAUGACACUGCUGUGUGCCCAGGAUAUGAACCAUGAAUACAUGUACUGGUAUCGACAAGACCCAGGCAUGGGGCUGAGGCUGAUUCAUUACUCAGUCGGUGAGGGUACAACUGCCAAAGGAGAGGUCCCUGAUGGCUACAAUGUCUCCAGAUUAAAAAAACAGAAUUUCCUGCUCGGGUUGGAGUCGGCUGCUCCCUCCCAAACAUCUGUGUACUUCUGUGCCAGCAACAAAUCAGGGCUGCCCAGUGAUCGCUUCUCUGCAGAGAGGACUGGGGGAUCCGUCUCCACUCUGACGAUCCAGCGCACACAGCAGGAGGACUCGGCCAUGUAUCUCUGUGCCAGCAGCUUAGAUGGCCGAGGAACAGGUGUCUUCCCCUGCAUGUGUUGGGGCAUCUGCAAGGUCUGA